rnacentral:rRNA from 1 species
UGGGGAAUAUUGCACAAUGGGCGAAAGCCUGAUGCAGCGACGCCGCGUGCGGGAUGAAGGCCUUCGGGUUGUAAACCGCUUUUAAUUGGGAGCAAGCGAGAGUGAGUGUACCUUUUGAAUAAGCACCGGCUAACUACGUGCCAGCAGCCGCGGUAAUACGUAGGGUGCAAGCGUUAUCCGGAAUUAUUGGGCGUAAAGAGCUCGUAGGCGGUUUGUCACGCCUGGUGUGAAAGUCCAUCGCUUAACGGUGGAUCUGCGCCGGGUACGGGCAGGCUAGAGUGCAGUAGGGGAGAUUGGAAUUCCCGGUGUAACGGUGGAAUGUGUAGAUAUCGGGAAGAACACCAAUGGCGAAGGCAGAUCUCUGGGCUGUUACUGACGCUGAGGAGCGAAAGCAUGGGGAGCGAACAGGAUUAGAUACCCUGGUAGUCCAUGUCGUAAACGGUGGAUGCUGGAUGUGGGGCCCUUCCACGGGCUCCGUGUCGGAGCUAACGCGUUAAGCAUCCCGCCUGGGGAGUACGGCCGCAAGGCU